rnacentral:rRNA from 1 species
GAUGAACGCUGGCGGCGUGCCUAAUACAUGCAAGUCGAGCGAACAGACGAGGAGCUUGCUCCUCUGACGUUAGCGGCGGACGGGUGAGUAACACGUGGAUAACCUACCUAUAAGACUGGGAUAACUUCGGGAAACCGGAGCUAAUACCGGAUAAUAUAUUGAACCGCAUGGUUCAAUAGUGAAAGACGGUUUUGCUGUCACUUAUAGAUGGAUCCGCGCCGCAUUAGCUAGUUGGUAAGGUAACGGCUUACCAAGGCGACGAUGCGUAGCCGACCUGAGAGGGUGAUCGGCCACACUGGAACUGAGACACGGUCCAGACUCCUACGGGAGGCAGCAGUAGGGAAUCUUCCGCAAUGGGCGAAAGCCUGACGGAGCAACGCCGCGUGAGUGAUGAAGGACUUCGGAUCGUAAAACUCUGUUAUUAGGGAAGAACAAAUGUGUAAGUAACUAUGCACGUCUUGACGGUACCUAAUCAGAAAGCCACGGCUAACUACGU